UCCUACGGGGCGCAGCAGUGGGGAAUAUUGCACAAUGGGGGAAACCCUGAUGCAGCGACGCCGCGUGAGUGAGGAAGUAUUUCGGUAUGUAAAGCUCUAUCAGCAGGGAAGAAAAUGACGGUAUCUGACUAAGAAGCCCCGGCUAACUACGUGCCAGCAGCCGCGGUAAUACGUAGGGGGCAAGCGUUAUCCGGAUUUACUGGGUGUAAAGGGAGCGUAGACGGCUGUGCAAGUCUGAAGUGAAAGCCCGUGGCUCAACCGCGGAACUGCUUUGGAAACUGUAUAGCUUGAGGACUGGAGAGGCG
rnacentral:rRNA from 1 species